AACGUAGGUGGCGAGCGUUAUCCGGAUUUACUGGGCGUAAAGGGCGUGCAGGCGGUUUGUUUAGUCUAGGGUGAAAGCUCCCGGCUUAACUGGGAGAGGUCCUUGGAUACUGGCAAACUUGAGGGAGGCAGAGGAAAGUGGAAUUCCCGGUGUAGUGGUGAUAUGCGUAGAUAUCGGGAGGAACACCAGUGGCGAAGGCGGCUUUCUGGGCCUUACCUGACGCUGAGACGCGAAAGCGUGGGGAGCGAACCGG
rnacentral:rRNA from 1 species